rnacentral:rRNA from 1 species
CAGUCGCCGCGGUAAUACGGAGGGUGCAAGCGUUAAUCGGAAUUACUGGGCGUAAAGCGCACGCAGGCGGUCUGUCAAGUCAGAUGUGAAAUCCCCGGGCUUAACCUGGGAACUGCAUUUGAAACUGGCAGGCUGGAGUCUUGUAGAGGGGGGUAGAAUUCCAGGUGUAGCGGUGAAAUGCGUAGAGAUCUGGAGGAAUACCGGUGGCGAAGGCGGCCCCCUGGACAAAGACUGACGCUCAGGUGCGAAAGCGUGGGGAGCAAACAGGAUUAGAUACCCGCGUAGUCCCUGUCUCUUAUAC